CACGCAACCUACACAAAAUUCAGUUAUCUGCUAGCAGAUAACCAGAUAACUGAAUUUUGUGUAGGUUGCGUG